UACAGAGGUCUCGAGCGUUGUUCGGAUUCAUUGGGCGUAAAGGGCGCGUAGGCUGCGGGGCAAGUCGGGUGUGAAAUCUCAGAGCUCAACUCUGAAACUGCACUCGAUACUGCCGUGCUUGAGGACUGGAGAGGAGACUGGAAUUUACGGUGUAGCAGUGAAAUGCGUAGAUAUCGUGAGGAAGACCAGUGGCGAAGGCGGGUCUCUGGACAGUUCCUGACGCUGAGGCGCGAAGGCCAGGGGAGCAAACGGG
rnacentral:rRNA from 1 species